AAUGCUUAGGAAUCUGCCUAUUAGUGGGGGACAACAUUCCGAAAGGAAUGCUAAUACCGCAUACGCCCUACGGGGGAAAGCAGGGGAUCUUCGGACCUUGCGCUAAUAGAUGAGCCUAAGUCGGAUUAGCUAGUUGGUGGGGUAAAGGCCUACCAAGGCGACGAUCUGUAGCGGGUCUGAGAGGAUGAUCCGCCACACUGGGACUGAGACACGGCCCAGACUCCUACGGGAGGCAGCAGUGGGGAAUAUUGGACAAUGGGCGAAAGCCUGAUCCAGCCAUGCCGCGUGUGUGAAGAAGGCCUUUAGGUUGUAAAGCACUUUAAGCGAGGAGGAGGCUACUGAGAUUAAUACUCUUGGAUAGUGGACGUUACUCGCAGAAUAAGCACCGGCUAACUCUGUGCCAGCAGCCGCGGUAAUACAGAGGGUGCGAGCGUUAAUCGGAUUUACUGGGCGUAAAGCGUGCGUAGGCGGCUUUUUAAGUCGGAUGUGAAAUCCCUGAGCUUAACUUAGGAAUUGCAUUCGAUACUGGGAAGCUAGAGUAUGGGAGAGGAUGGUAGAAUUCCAGGUGUAGCGGUGAAAUGCGUAGAGAUCUGGAGG
rnacentral:rRNA from 1 species